UUUUUGAUAAAUACUUUUGUUUGCUUACAAGUAUAAAGUCAUCAUGUUUUUUUCAUCAGUUUCUUGUUCGUUUCAAAAUUAUGAUUUUUGUUUACUUACACUCAUAAUCUUGAAACGAACAAAAAACUGAUGGAAAAACAUGAGGACUUUAUACUUGUAAAUAAAUAAAAAUAUUUAUUAGAAA